rnacentral:rRNA from 1 species
GACGAACGCUGGCGGCGUGCUUAACACAUGCAAGUCGAACGGAGCUGUUUAUUUCGGUAGAUAGCUUAGUGGCAAACGGGUGAGUAACGCGUAGGCAACCUGCCCUUAGGAUGGGGACAACGGCCCGAAAGGACCGCUAAUACCGAAUGGACUCUAACUUUCGCAUGAAAGAAAGAGGAAAGAUGGUGCAAGCCAUCGCCGAAGGAAGGGCCUGCGUCUGAUUAGCCAGUUGGUGAGGUAACGGCCCACCAAAGCAACGAUCAGUAGCCGGUCUGAGAGGAUGAACGGCCACAAUGGGACUGAGACACGGCCCAUACUCCUACGGGAGGCAGCAGUGGGGAAUCUUCCGCAAUGGGCGAAAGCCUGACGGAGCAACGCCGCGUGAGUGAAGAAGGUCUUCGGAUCGUAAAGCUCUGUUGUUGGGGACGAAAGGGAAGGGGAGGAAAUGCCCUUUUUAAGACGGACCCGACGAGCAAGCCACG